AUGAAUAAGAUAUUUUUAAAGCACUUUGCACAGUGGCCAGCCAGUUUGACCUUCUUCAUUGGUACAAUUUCUUUCUGUGUCAGGCUCCCAAAUACAUUGACUGUUACAGCUAGACUUCUCCUUUCAUCAUUCCAAGGUAAAUGGUCAAUAGUGUGUGACCAUACAGGCCUGGCAGGUCUCCUGCCACAGUUCUCAGCACUAACCUCGAACAAGUCACGUCCUCAAUGUGGACCUCAGGUUCUUCAUUUGCCAAGUGUCUAAGCUGAAUAUAAACAGUUCUCUACUGAUAAAAAUGAGGUAUCGGCUGCUAAGGGAGCUGGAAGUCGCCAGCCUUACUGUCAAGGCUUUCCCUACCCCUGUGCCCAAAUAACAGCCAAGAAGUAAAUCGCCAUCUUAAUUCCCAAGUCAGCUAUUGCCCCCCCCCCAUAGUAAUCAGCCACUGGACUUUAUCCUGCAAGGAGUCAAGCAUGACCCUACAAUUCACAUGUGGAGGAAUGAUUGGUUCAGAUUCAUAAAGUUAGCCUUGGACAAUUUUAUGCUCUACCUGUUCCUCAGUUUCUUUAUCUGCAAAAUUAUCAAGUUGAUCGUAUUACUUACUACU
rnacentral:lncRNA from 1 species